rnacentral:rRNA from 1 species
UACAGAGGGGGCAAGCGUUGUUCGGAAUUACUGGGCGUAAAGGGCGCGUAGGCGGCCUGUUAAGUCGAACGUGAAAUCCCCGGGCUCAACCCGGGAACUGCGUCCGAUACUGGAAGGCUUGAAUUCGGGAGAGGGAUGCGGAAUUCCAGGUGUAGCGGUGAAAUGCGUAGAUAUCUGGAGGAACACCGGUGGCGAAGGCGGCAUCCUGGACCGGCAUUGACGCUGAGGCGCGAAAGCCAGGGGAGCAAACGGG